rnacentral:tRNA from 1 species
GGGGAUUUAGCUCAGUGGUAGAGCGCUGGCCUAGGAAGCGCAAGGCCCUGGGUUCGGUCCCCAGCUCCA